AGGCGAGUUUCGACCCGUGCACAAUGAUAUCAGAAUUUGGUUCAUGACCAUUACUACAAUCAUUGAGUCCAACGAAGAUAUGAACUCAAUCCAAAAAUACCGCUUUGAGUUUGCUGACUAUGACCAAAUAUAGAACCAAUGUUACAACUACACAUAUUUAAUAGAUGUUGUUGGAAAGUUGGUAGCAGUUGGAAACGUUGAAGAGCCUCAAGUUAAUGGCGCACCAAGAAAAUUGUGCAAUCUGCAAUUGCUUUGGAAAGAGGGAAAAGAAAUUAGGCUUUCACUAUAGGGAACAAGUGUCUGGCAAAUCGAUGAAGAUGUAUAUAAGAACAAUCUAGGACCUUUUGUCUUAAUUGCAACUUCGACUAUUGUCAAAUCAUUUGGAGGCAAAAUCUCUUUGUCAUCAACCAAUGCAACAAAAGUAUAUCUAAAUCUUGAGAUUCCCGAGGUUGCAAAAAUAAUUGACAGGAAUGGUAAAAAACAUUAUCCUAUACAAGAAAUACCAAAAAUACAUGCAAAACAGUUUUCAGAUGAGGAUUUUUCUUCAAACAAUAUGAAGACAAUACCAGAGCUCAAAUGCAUUGAAUGGGA